AAAAAGCCCUGGUUUAUAACAUUUGCCAAUUUCCUUGGUGUAACUACUUCCACCUUGGCUGAUUUCAAGAUACCAACUCGCUGGUAAAAUUCCUGAGUGUUGAACCAUCCUCUCAGGAGUUGGAGGAGCCAGCCCCAGCGCACCACUGGCUGAAAGUAAUCAUUCAAAUUGACUGGAGCAGUUCAGCCAGGAGUGUGUUCUGCCAGACUCAGUCUUGUUGCAGAGACAAGAUGUUCCCCCCUGAAUGAGAUAAUGCCCUGAGAUCUUGGACGAUGAAGUGCCAAAUCAGUGCACACAUUUCACUGGUCUGGGAAGCAGAUUAUUGGAGCCAUUUCUGUUCCUCCUGCUUCUGCUUUGUUCUCUAACCUGCAGGGUUAGGCUUGGCGAGGAGAUUAACUUGGAGAUAUAUUGCUGGAUGAUAAGAGAGAAGAUUCUGGACCAUCAAGAGAUGACAGCUGAAUGGGGGACAGCUAUAUCAGGAAUAAAGCAUCUUAAACAUCAUGAAAAGCCAGGCACCUGCAGGCCAAGGACAACCAGUCGUAUUAGGAACAAUAGAACUGAGGCCUCUGAGAGACACUGUGGGUGGAGCCACUAUGGUAACGUGCUUGGCAACGUAGAUGUCCAUGGGGAGAACCUCUGCCUAGUGGUCCAGGGGGCACUGGAGAACCCCUGCCCCUCUUUUCCCCCUUGGUUGGUGCUGAGACACCAUUCAGAGAGCUGCUCCAAGGUCUCCUGGGAUCCUACAGCAGUAUCCUGUAGCAUGGCCAACUCAGUAACACAGGCAACAGCCUCUGCGAGCCAACCAGAUUUUCUCCAAGAUGGAGACUCAGCCCAGCCAACAUUCUACCACAGAAGCGACUGACCUGGCCUGGGGGUCCACCAGCCCAACCACUGGGUGUAAAAUUCUUACUAGCCAUGAGUCCUGACACUUUCAGAGUUGGAGUUCUGGAAAUGAGAAGAGGCAAGGGGAGCAGGAAAGCUCUUGCCUGAUUGGCCUGGGCAUGGUGAUGUGGCGUCUGCUCUCUCUGGACUUGGCAGACGUUGAAAGCUGACUCUCACAGGCUCUUUUUGAUGAUCUUAACUCACAAUCACUGAGGAUCUCUUCCCUGAAGUUUGCUUCACAGGACAAAUGCUCUCUAUUCCAGCCACUCACUUACUCACUCAUUCCUUCCUCGGCCUCUAUGAAUGUGCUGAUACCUCAAGCUUCUCCCUGAGAAGACCUGUUUAUUCCUCCAUGCAGCCCUCUUGGACAGAUCCAAGACAAUCCCUCACUGCCAUAGCGGGUAGGGGGAAACUUCUCCUGUGCCCUCUUAUAUUCAGUGACCGAGGCCAGCAAAUUAAACUGACAAAGAAAAGAUUAACAGGAGAGUAGGUUUAUUUCAUAUGCAUACGCGGGACCUCACAGAAAAGAAGUGAAAAUCCCCCAAAGCAAUAAUGCCUGGGGGUUUAUGUACCAUUUUAACAAAGGACAACACAGUGUAGAGAAGAGUUAAAGGGGUUUGAGCUUCUGGGGUGGUGAAUUGGAGGAAGGUAAAUAUACAGGGGAACCUAAUGGAAGAUGAGGGUUAUUUUAGUAAGGCUUGUUAUGCAGAUUCAAGUCAGUGCCUCAGUGAUUAAGCAGGAGAGGGGAGGGGGCAUACCUUCACACAGGGAAAUGUACCCCUGCUUUCAGGCAGAAAGAGGGGGGCAGAGAGCUCCUUUUGUGUCUGCUGUUUCUUAAUUGCCUUCAGCUCAAAAUAGUCCUAACAUCAAAGUGGUGUAUUUUGGGGUGGCAUAUUCUGAUCCCCUUCACUGCCAACCCUAUCAUGGGUGAGACCCAUAUCUGGGCACGCACUCACGAAUCCUCUUGUGACAAAUUUGGGGCGCACAAGCUGUCAUGGCUACCUCCCCGAGACCUUCCCUUUCCUCCACAGUCAAAGCCAUAGCUAGCCCAUCACUUGUCCUUUAAGUUUGGCGGGAACUGGACACCUGUGCAGUGUGUCCCCUGAGCUACUAGGGACACAAAUGAAGCUCUUUCAGUGGGCAAGUUGAACCCCCUUUUCCUAAGCAUGCGACAAGGGCCCUGUACUCCCUUCGCUCUCCACGGGUGGGAGAGGGACUCACCGCGCACCAAAAACUUUGUUCCUGGCCGUUUUAUCACCAUGAAUGAGGGGUGCAGCCAUCACAAAGCUGGUUUCUCUGCUCCCUUUCCUCCAAAGCCUGCACGGGGGUCUGGGACCUCUUUUUGGAACGUGAUCUCCAUUGUCUUCAGGCCUUAGCAGAAACGCCUAUUCUAACAUCUCGUUACAUGUGUACAUUGAGAAAACUGAAUAAAGUAGCCAGGUUGCCCUAUUAUUCUAAAAGUAUCAAUAUUCUUAAAGCUACCAAACCUGAGUAAAAUGGCCAGAAUGGGUCUGUUUGGGUCUAUUAGGGACUAUUCAUGGCGGGGAGAGAUGCUGCAGACCUUACCCCAGGGCCUCGGAAUCAUCUUGCAAGUGAAAUCACUCAGCUGUUUCUAAUCCUGUGUAGAAGGAUCACAAACUCUGGGAGUGUUGGGGCCGGCCCAGUGGCAUAGUGCUUAAGUUUGCGCACUCCACUUCAGCAGCCCAGCGUUUGCAGGUUUGGAUCCUGGGUAUGGACCUACACACUGUUCAUCAGGGCGCACUGUGGCAGCAUCCCACAUAAAAUACAGGAAGAUUGCCACAGACUUUAGCUCA
ensembl:lncRNA